GGAGGCCUACCCUUUUCACCUGCAGCCUAUCGCAGAGGACGUCGCUGUUCGCGUUGACCAAUAGGAGUGGUAGCCGUCACGGCAAGCCCCGCCCCGCGCCCUGCGUCGGGUUAAGAGGGGUUCCUCGCCAGCCAGGUGCUCGUCAUACGCCAUGUGGCGCUGCGGCGGGCGGCAGGGCCUGUGUGUGCUGAGGCGACUGAGCGGCGGACAUGCACACCACAGAGCGUGGCGAUGGAACAGUAACCGGGCUUGUGAGAGGGCUCUGCAGUAUAAACUAGGAGACAAGAUCCAUGGAUUCACCGUAAACCAGGUGACAUCUGUUCCUGAGCUGUUCCUGACUGCAGUGAAGCUCAGCCAUGAUGACACAGGAGCCAGGUAUUUACACCUGGCCAGAGAAGACACGAAUAAUCUGUUCAGCGUGCAGUUCCGUACCACUCCCAUGGACAGUACUGGUGUUCCUCACAUUCUUGAGCAUACCGUCCUUUGUGGGUCUCAGAAAUAUCCGUGCAGAGACCCUUUCUUCAAAAUGUUGAACCGGUCCCUCUCCACGUUCAUGAACGCCUUCACAGCUAGUGAUUAUACUCUGUAUCCAUUUUCCACACAAAAUCCCAAGGACUUUCAGAAUCUCCUCUCGGUGUAUUUGGAUGCCACCUUUUUCCCAUGUUUACGCGAGCUGGAUUUCUGGCAGGAAGGAUGGCGGCUAGAACAUGAGAAUCCGAGCGACCCCCAGACGCCCUUGGUCUUUAAAGGAGUCGUCUUUAAUGAGAUGAAGGGAGCGUUUACAGACAAUGAGAGGAUAUUCUCCCAGCACCUUCAGAACAGACUUCUUCCCGACCACACGUACUCAGUGGUCUCCGGGGGCGACCCACUGUGCAUCCCAGAGCUUACAUGGGAGCAGCUUAAGCAGUUUCAUGCCACUCACUAUCACCCAAGCAAUGCUAGGUUCUUCACGUACGGUAAUUUUCCAUUAGAACAGCAUCUGAAACAAAUUCACGAGGAAGCACUGAGCAAAUUCCAGAAAAUUGAACCAAGCACCGUGGUGCCAGCUCAGACACCCUGGGACAAGCCUAGGGAAUUCCAGAUAACAUGUGGCCCGGAUUCAUUUGCUACAGAUCCCUCUAAACAAACAACCGUCAGUGUUAGCUUCCUCUUACCGGACAUCACCGACACAUUUGAAGCCUUCACAUUAAGUCUUCUGUCUUCACUCUUGACUUCUGGGCCCAAUUCUCCCUUUUACAAAGCCUUGAUUGAAUCUGGCCUUGGCACAGACUUUUCUCCUGAUGUUGGAUAUAAUGGCUACACGAGGGAGGCCUACUUCAGUGUCGGCCUCCAAGGGAUUGCGGAGAAAGAUAUUGAGACCGUCAGAAGCCUCGUAGACAGAACGAUUGAUGAAGUAGUUGAGAAAGGAUUUGAAGAUGAUCGAAUUGAGGCUUUACUUCAUAAAAUUGAAAUACAGAUGAAACAUCAGUCUACCAGCUUUGGGCUGAUGCUGACAUCAUACAUAGCUUCUUGCUGGAACCACGAUGGGGACCCUGUGGAGCUCUUGAAGUUGGGAAAUCAGUUAGCUAAAUUCAGACAGUGCCUGCAGGAAAAUCCAAAAUUUUUGCAAGAAAAAGUAAAACAGUAUUUUAAGAAUAACCAGCAUAAGCUGACUUUAUCGAUGAGGCCAGAUGACAAGUAUCACGAGAAGCAGGCACAGGUGGAAGCCACGAAGCUCCAGCAGAAGGUCGAGGCUCUGUCCCCAGGAGACAGGCAGCAGAUCUACGAGAAAGGUUUAGAAUUACGGACUCAACAAAGCAAACCUCAAGAUGCCUCCUGUCUGCCAGCGUUGAAAGUUUCCGAUAUUGAACCCACCAUACCUGUCACAGAGUUGGACGUGGUCCUGACAGCUGGAGAUAUCCCUGUUCAGUACUGCGCCCAGCCCACCAAUGGCAUGGUGUAUUUCCGGGCCUUCUCCAGCCUGAACACACUCCCCGAGGAGCUGAGGCCCUAUGUGCCCCUCUUCUGCAGCGUCCUCACCAAGCUGGGCUGCGGCCUUCUUGACUACCGGGAGCAGGCUCAGCAGAUAGAAUUGAAGACCGGAGGGAUGAGUGCUUCUCCCCACGUGCUCCCUGACGACUCGCACAUGGACACCUACGAGCAGGGUGUGCUUUUCUCCUCUCUCUGCCUGGAUCGAAACCUGCCAGACAUGAUGCAGCUAUGGAGUGAAAUAUUUAACAACCCGUGCUUUGAAGAAGAGGAGCACUUCAAGGUGCUGGUGAAGAUGACCGCCCAGGAGCUCGCCAAUGGAAUUCCUGACUCUGGGCACCUGUACGCGUCCAUCAGGGCAGGCCGGACCCUCACGCCCGCAGGGGACCUGCAGGAGACCUUCAGCGGGAUGGAUCAGGUGCGGCUGAUGAAGAGGAUUGCAGAAAUGACAGAUAUCAAACCCAUCCUGAGGAAGCUCCCGCGUAUCAAGAAACACUUGUUAAAUGGUGAUAAUAUGAGGUGUUCAGUGAAUGCGACUCCUCAGCAGAUGCCUCAGACAGAAAAAGCGGUCGAAGACUUCCUUAGAAGCAUCGGUCGGAGUAAGAAGGAACGGAGGCCUGUGCGCCCACACACGGUCGAGAAACCUGUGCCCAGCAGCUCUGGUGGAGAUGCCUACGUUCCCCAUGGCUCCCAGGUCAUUAGGAAGCUGGUCAUGGAACCCACCUUCAAGCCCUGGCAGAUGAAGACUCACUUCCUGAUGCCCUUCCCGGUGAAUUACGUGGGUGAAUGCAUCCGAACUGUCCCCUACACGGACCCAGAUCAUGCCAGGAAAAGGCCCGUCUGUGGAAGCGGCGACCUGGGGCUGAUCUCGCCACGGGCGUCUUCAAGGAGCCUGUGUCUUUGCUGCAGACUCUACCAUCAUUGUCUGCCCUGCCUUCUGUCGGAGGUGGAUGUGUUCUAGAAUCAGCUUGAAUGUGAUGUUACCGUUCACAGUGGAAGGCAGAGGAAAUUGGCCCUGUUCCUAGAAACGCGCUUUAUCGGAGAGUUCUUAAAAUCCUUGCACGUUUGAUGACUGCCAAAUUCUUGCAUACAGAAAUUCGAGAAAAAGGCGGUGCUUAUGGUGGAGGCGCAAAACUCAGCCACAAUGGGAUUUUCACCCUUUACUCUUACAGGGACCCAAAUACAAUAGAGACGCUCCAGUCUUUUGGGAAGGCUGUCAACUGGGCUAAGUCUGGAAAAUUCACACAGCAAGACAUCGACGAAGCCAAACUUUCUGUCUUCUCAACCGUAGAUGCUCCUGUCGCUCCUUCAGACAAAGGAAUGGAUCACUUCUUGUACGGCCUCUCAGAUGAGAUGAAGCAGGCCCACAGAGAGCAGCUCUUUGCUGUCAGCCACGACAAGCUCCUGGCCGUGAGCGAUAGGUACCUCGGCACUGGGAAGAGCACACAUGGCCUGGCCAUCCUCGGACCCGAGAACCCGAAAAUUGCCAAGGACCCAUCCUGGAUCAUCCGAUGAGCAGCCGUGGCACUCGACUGCACAGGAGCCUGAGACAAUACACCUCUGAGCUGAAUAUGAAAAGUCAGAAAUGCUACUGCUUUUUCCAAGAAUAUUAUGUCAUUAAGUGUCGCCAAAGCCCUUGACUGGCGAGUCAAAAACUCAGAUCUGUCUUAAGAGUGACCAGGAAGAGGUUCAUUGAAAUAAUCAUGCAUGAAGCGCCAAAGAUGCACCAUGUAGAAUUUUUACUUUCUACUGGCAGGCUCCUUUUACCUCAUUAAUUCUAGAAUAUUUACUUAAGAAUCUAAAAAUAAAGGGCAACUCUGACUUAA